AAGAGAUGUUUCGAACACUAAGAACUGCUAAUUCUUAUCCCUGAAGUUAAAAUCUACAGACCUCUUA
rnacentral:tRNA from 1 species